AAACAAACAAAACAUGGCUCUGCUUGUAAACCUUCCCUGCUUACGUCAACCCGACUCAACCUGCAGGUCGUCUCCGGAGUUAAAGCCACCAUGAGCAGAUGUAAUACCCUCCCUCCAACCUUCUUCCACAUUGGUUUGCCACUUAAUUUCUGAAAGGCCUUAUAAAAACUGCAAAUCUACCCAGGACAGGUGCAGCCUCUGUAAUGCUGAGAAGGCUUUGUCUGUGACUGGACCCCACUGAAGUAAGCACCGCCACCUGAGACAGCAAGGUGAGGUCAGAAGUUGCGGCGGGGGCGGUAGGCUUGUCAGGCUGCCUGAUGAAAGCACACGAC
rnacentral:lncRNA from 1 species